AGCUGCGUGCUUGCAUGUCGGUGCGAGACACUCAACAGCUGGACGAACACGUCAACCGUGGUUUUGCUGAUAAAAUCGCAGCUGUGUAAAGGUGGGGACUGAGCUGGGUCCAGCGGCAGAUUUUUGUUGAACUCAGAUUCCACCAUCUACGAUGACAGGAUUUGAACCUGUGGCCCCAGACAUCAACAAGCUAUAAUACCACGAGGCCAGCGUCUCCCCUAUAUGUAACCAGACUGGUUUAGUUUGGUUCAUUCUGUUUUUUCUUAUUUCUUUUGCAUAAUAAACUUUUAAUUUAUUGUUAAAACAAA